ensembl:miRNA
CGCCGCUCCGCUCCCGGUUCCGCGCUCUACGCCAGCCCGCUGCCUGCCGGGCUGGUGCAGGCCGCGGAGCCGGGCGGCCCGGCAGGCA